rnacentral:misc_RNA from 1 species
UCCGUGUUAACCACGGCAGUCUCCUUAGAGAGCCCAACUUAAUGCUGGCAACUAAGGACAAGGGUUGCGCUCGUUGCGGGACUUAACCCAACAUGUCACCACACGAGCUGACGACAGCCAUGCAGCACCUGUCUCCGGUCCAGCCGAACUGAAGGAUUCCGUCUCUGGAAUCCGCGACCGAGACGUCAAGGGCUGGUAAGGUUCUUCGCGUUGCGUCGAAUUAAACCACAUGCUCCACCGCUUGUGCGGGCCCCCGUCAAUUCCUUUGAGUUUUAAUCUUGCGACCGUACUCCCCAGGCGGAAUGCUUAAAGCGUUAGCUGCGCCACUGACAGGCAAGCCUGCCAACGGCUAGCAUCCAUCGUUUACGGCGUGGACUA